AGACCCGAAACCCGGUGAUCUAGCCAUGGGCAGGUUGAAGGUUGGGUAACACUAACUGGAGGACCGAACCGACUAAUGUUGAAAAAUUAGCGGAUGACCUGUGGCUGGGGGUGAAAGGCCAAUCAAACCGGGAGAUAGCUGGUUCUCCCCGAAAGCUAUUUAGGUAGCGCCUCGUGAAUUCAUCUCCGGGGGUAGAGCACUGUUUCGGCUAGGGGGCCAUCCCGGCUUACCAACCCGAUGCAAACUGCGAAUACCGGAGAAUGUUAUCACGGGAGACACACGGCGGGUGCUAACGUCCGUCGUGAAGAGGGAAACAACCCAGACCGCCAGCUAAGGUCCCAAAGUCAUGGUUAAGUGGGAAACGAUGUGGGAAGGCCCAGACAGCCAGGAUGUUGGCUUAGAAGCAGCCAUCAUUUAAAGAAAGCGUAAUAGCUCACUGGUCGAGUCGGCCUGCGCGGAAGAUGUAACGGGGCUAAACCAUGCACCGAAGCUGCGGCAGCGAACGUAUCACUUAAAGCGAUUCAGCGGGUUACGAUUGACGGAGCGAAGCGACGUCAAAGCGUAUACAAAGUCGAGUCGGUUUAAGGAUACGUUCGUUGGGUAGGGGAGCGUUCUGUAAGCCUGCGAAGGUGGCCUGUGAGGGUUGCUGGAGGUAUCAGAAGUGCGAAUGCUGACAUAAGUAACGAUAAAGCGGGUGAAAAGCCCGCUCGCCGGAAGACCAAGGGUUCCUGUCCAACGUUAAUCGGGGCAGGGUGAGUCGACCCCUAAGGCGAGGCCGAAAGGCGUAGUCGAUGGGAAACGGGUUAAUAUUCCCGUACUUGGUGUUACUGCGAAGGGGGGACGGAGAAGGCUAUGUUGGCCGGGCGACGGUUGUCCCGGUUUAAGCGUGUAGGCUGGUUUUCCAGGCAAAUCCGGAAAAUCAAGGCUGAGGCGUGACGACGAGGCACUACGGUGCUGAAGCAACAAAUGCCCUGCUUCCAGGAAAAGCCUCUAAGCAUCAGGUAACACGAAAUCGUACCCCAAACCGACACAGGUGGUCAGGUAGAGAAUACCAAGGCGCUUGAGAGAACUCGGGUGAAGGAACUAGGCAAAAUGGUGCCGUAACUUCGGGAGAAGGCACGCUGACACGUAGGUGAAGUGAUUUACUCAUGGAGCUGAAGUCAGUCGAAGAUACCAGCUGGCUGCAACUGUUUAUUAAAAACACAGCACUGUGCAAACACGAAAGUGGACGUAUACGGUGUGACGCCUGCCCGGUGCCGGAAGGUUAAUUGAUGGGGUCAGCGCAAGCGAAGCUCCUGAUCGAAGCCCCGGUAAACGGCGGCCGUAACUAUAACGGUCCUAAGGUAGCGAAAUUCCUUGUCGGGUAAGUUCCGACCUGCACGAAUGGCGUAAUGAUGGCCAGGCUGUCUCCACCCGAGACUCAGUGAAAUUGAACUCGCUGUGAAGAUGCAGUGUACCCGCGGCAAGACGGAAAGACCCCGUGAACCUUUACUAUAGCUUGACACUGAACAUUGAGCCUUGAUGUGUAG
rnacentral:rRNA from 1 species